rnacentral:lncRNA from 1 species
GCACCGAGAUGCUGCAGGAAGUGCGCUCGUCUCUCACUGCUCUGCUCGUCUCUCACUGCUCUGAAGGAAACCCUGUUUGAUUGUCCAGAGAUCCAAAGCAUCAUAGACAGCAUCGGAGACACUCCAGAUUUUGAUCUGGAUGCUGUGCUGGAGCUUGCCUUACAUAAGGUAGCUCUGAAGCCAGUUUACUCUCACCUUUAUGUGUGUCUAAAGAGAGCGCGUAGGGAUGACUGCACUCUGCAGCGUUUAGAGGCCAACAAGAGCACCCUGGAGAACCGCAGCCUGGAGGAGCUGGAGGGUGCAGCAGGGGCCGGGGUACCUGAUUCCAGCAUGAUGGAAAAGAUCCAGCAACGCUGGACCACAAUGCAUGAGGCCUACUCACCCAGUAAAAAAGUUGACACUCUGCUCAAAGUCUGCAAGAAUAUCUACCAUAGUAUGAAUGCUAAUGCCAAGCCUGGUACAAUUUUCGGGGCAGAUGACUUCCUGCCAUGCCUGACAUGGGUGUUGCUGCGUAGUGAUGUAGCUACACUUCAGGUUGACACUGACUACAUGAUGGACUGACUACAUGAUGGAGCUGCUAGACCCUGUGCAACUACAAGGAGAGGGUGGGUACUACCUUACGUCUCUCUACGCUGCCCUUUUUUACAUCAGCAGCUUCCGGCCUCGUCUAGCGAAGCGGCAACUUAGCGCAGAAGCACACAGAUCUCUCAGCCAAUGGCACCGCAGACGCACACUGCACUGCAACCAAUCACGUCGCAGCAGAAAUCGUAGGACCAUCCGGAGACACGGGCUGGCUGAUGAAAGCUGUAAAACAUCCGACGAACAGAACUCUUUGAAUGCGAGCACAGAGUCCAGCAGUCUGACUGACGUCAUGCCAGCCACCUCUAGCAUGCAAGAAACACUCCAGGGCUUAGAUGAAGAAUUAGAGGAUGUAAAGGAAGGAGAGGAGGGACAACAAAUACUGUCACCAGAGACGUUGCACAUCACCACUCCUAAAACAGAGGGAAAAGAAAGAGGUGAUGGAGUAAGCUGGGAAGAAGAUAACUAAAAAUCACAUGAUUCUAAAGGAAUAAGUAAAUGGUAUCAAAGAACUUAGCUUUGAACUUAAAAGAGAUGCUUGUGAAGGCAAAGCGUGUUAGUCAAAUUACACCUCAGAUCAUGCAACUUAAUGAAAAUAAUUCAUGCUGUUAUUUCUUUGAGCAAUCAGAUUUCAGAUUUUUGCUUGUUACAUGAUAAAAUAGUUGAAAAAACAAAAACAUCCAUAUACAUAUAUAUAUAUCAAUUUAUUUAAUUGUUAUCAAUUUGCACUGGCUACCGAUAGCUGCUCACAUAAAAUUUAAGGCAUUGAUGUUUGCUUACAAAACCACCACUGGCUCUGCACCCCUUUACCUAAAUUCAUUACUUCAGACUUAUGUGCCUCUAGAAGCUUGCGUUCUGCAAGUGAACAUCGCUUGAUUGUGCCAUCCCAAAGAAGCACAAAGUCACUUUUACGGACUUAAAUGUUCCCUCCUGGUGGAAUGACCUGCCCAACUCAAUCCGAGCAGCUGAGUCCUUAGCCAUCUUCAAGAAUCAGCUUAAAACACAUCUCUUCCAUCUUUAUUUGACCCUCUAACUUUAGCACUCACUAUUCUAAUUCUAAUUACUUAAAAAAAAAUCUAACUACCUUCUAUCUUUUNUAUUCUAUCUUCUUUUCCUUUCUAUUUAUUAUACUAAUUAAUAAAAAAACGUACCUACUAACUACUAUAUAUAUAUUGAAUUGAGAAUGCCUUUUUAGUGAAUAUGGAUUGAAUUUAAACUGCUCUAAGUAAUUUCUAAUAAUACAUUUCAUUUUCACUAUGAAUUACUAAUAAACUUAUCACACAACAUGUUUUCUAUCAGGGUUUCCGCGGGUCCUUAAAAAGUCUUAAAGAGUUAGUUCACCCAAAAAUGAAAAUUAGGCCAUUCACCCUCAAGGCAUCCUAGGUGUAUAUGACUUUCUUCUUUCAGACGAAUCCAGUUGGAGUUAUAUAAAAAUUGUCUUUGAUCUUUCAGGCUGUUUAAUGGCACUCAGUGGGUGUUGCAGUGCUUCAGUCCAAAAGAAGUGAAAUAAAAAGCGCCCAUCCAUUAAAAAAAAAAAGUGUCUCACAUUGCUCCGGGGGGUGGAACAAAGUCCUCCUGUAGCGACCGAUGCAUUUUUAAUAAGAAAAAUAUCCAUAUUUAAAACGUAUAAUCACUUUAAUGUAGCUUGUGCCAACAGUCCUACACGGAAGCAGCUCCGGGCAGAUGACAUAUGGGGUCAUGUGCCGGUGAUAUUUUUCUUACAAAAUCCAUCAAUUGACACAAGAGGCCUUGUUCACCCCCUGGACCCGUGUGAGACACUUCUUUUAUGGGUGGGUACUUUUAUUUCACUUCUUUGGACUGAAGCAAUGCAACACCAGCUGAGUGACAUUAAACAGCUUGAAAGAUCAAAGACAAUUUUAAAUAUAUAUCCGACUGGAUUCGUCUGAAAGAAGAAAGUCAUAUACCUUGAUGCCUUGAGGGUGAGUAAUUUAUGGGCUAAUUUUCAUUUUUGAAACCACUGUCACAAAAAAAUAAAUAAAAAUAUAGGGUCCUAGUUGAACUGCGGUCCUGAAACUGCAGCCUCCGGUAUUGUAGGAACACAGUAUUGGCCAGAAUCCAGUUGGAGUUAUAUAAAAAUUGUCUUUGAUCUUUCAGGCUGUUUAAUGGCACUCAGUGGGUGUUGCAGUGCUUCAGUCCAAAAGAAGUGAAAUAAAAAGCGCCCAUCCAUUAAAAAAAAAGUGUCUCACAUUGCUCCGGGGGGUGGAACAAAGUCCUCCUGUAGCGAACCGAUGCAUUUUUAUAAGAAAAUAUCCAUAUUUAAAACGUAAUAAUCACUUUAAUGUAGCUUGUGCCAACAGUCCUACACGGAAGCAGCUCCGGGCAGAUGACAUAUGGGGUCAUGUGCCGGUGAUAUUUUUCUUACAAAAAUCCAUCAAUUGACUACAAGAGGCCUUUGUUCACCCCCUGGACCCGUGUGAGACACUUCUUUUUAUGGGUGGGUACUUUUUAUUUCACUUCUUUUGGACUGAAGCAAUGCAACACCAGCUGAGUGACAUUAAACAGCUUGAAAGAUCAAAGACCCUUGAGGUGAGUAAUUUAUGGCUAAUUUCAUUUUUGAAACCACUGUCACAAAAAAUAAAUAAAAAUAUAGGGUCCUAGUUGAACUGCGGUCCUGAAACUGCAGCCUCCGGUAUUGUAGGAACACAGUAUUGGCCAGUGUACACACCAAUGUGAAGAUCGACCCAUGUUUUUACCCUGCAAACACACAGAGCUGUAAAUGUGAACUGGUGGAUCGAUAAAAAGAUAGUGCAUUAUAAAACAGGGGUGUGUAAUAGUUCACAUUCUUUCUUUACAUUUAAAGGAAUGAUUCGUAACACUGGGUAGCAUAUUGUGAAUGGUGAAAAAAAAAUGACAUAAUUGUUCAUAAAUUCUUUUAAAUGUUUGUUUAUAUAGACUAGUCCAUAAAUAAAAAGCCAACAAAAGCCUAGGGGAACAAGAUUACAAGACCCAUUAUGUAUUCAGAUUUACAUUUUACAAUCUAUUAAGCCUGUUUUUCAUCUGCAGCAACAUUCAAAACUCUUAAGUCAUAAUUUAGAGAUAAACAAUCAUGCAUUUUGUUCACUCAUCCAGUGGAUCAUAUUGAAAAAUGUCUUCCAGCAGGGCAUAAAUUAGAUAUAUGACCUUUACUUGUUAUUGAAUACACAGAUGGUUAAAACUAUUUAAAGACUAAACAAAGAAGAGUUGCCUGUCAAAUACAUUCUCUAUUUGUGAUACUUUGAUUGACAGCUUUGUAAGGAGUGUGAGCUAGAAUAAAGUUGCAGUUAAUGGAGAUAAAUAGAGAAGUGCCGGUGGCAAAAUGCACCCCAACACUUUCAAACCAAUUAUUCUCUGCAUUAACCAACGGAUGGAUCAUUAACAACCUGCUUGGAUUUUUCCUUUCUGUCUCACACGCACUUUCACACUUCUCUUUAGUCACACACCCAAAAUGCAUGUAUCAUUUGCAGCUUAUUAAAGACAAUUUUGCUGAUAUUGUACUGUGAACAGUGACAUAUAAAUGUAAAGUGGAGCUGCUUGAUUGUGCACCAUGUAAAUACCGUGGUAGUAUAUGACAAUAGUGAUCAUUCAUUGCCAGUGGUAUAUAUUGAAGUAGAGGGCCGACUGAUACAAUAUUUAUGAUUUUGUUAACCAGCAUUGGUGUCUUGAUCUCCCAUAUAAUUUUCAGUUUAAUUUUCAGUUUAUUUAUCCACUGGUGAAAGAGUACGGCAUUAAGUUAAGACCUGCUCAAGUUGCACCAUAAUUAUUUUCACGCGUUUUUACAGCGUUGCGCAUUAUAACCAAUCACACGCGAUUCUGUUGAGCUUAUGAAUGCAUUGACCAAUCAGAGGCGUUCAGAUGAGUCAUCGCUGAAACGCCGGAGUUUUGUUCAGAGAGCAUGCUUGCUGACUGAAUUCUACUCUCUGGGGAAUUCGUUCAUUAUUAAUAAAGCGCAGAUGUACGAUGUGAGUAAGAACCAAUCACACGCGAUUCUGUUCGAGC